CGUUGGUUGAGAACUUCCUCCUCCAGAAGGUGGACCACCAUGAUACGGUGGAUAACCAGAGGAUGGUGGUGGAGUUGUGAUCGGAGGUGGGUUAAUGAUCGGAGGGAGAAGUCCUGGAGGUGUUGUGAUUGGAGGGAGAAUUCCUGGAGGAGUUGUGACCGGAGGUGGGUUAAUGAUCGGAGGGAGAAUUCCUGGAGGAGUUGUGACCGGAGGAGGUCUUACCAUUGGUGGUGGAUAGACGACCGGAGGAGGUCUUGAGAUAGGCGGUGGCCUCACCACUGGUGGUGGAUAAACCACCGGAGGAGGUCUAACAAACGGCGGUGAUGUCCCUCCACCAUGAUGUGGUGGCCCACCACCACCACCACCAUGAUGCGGCGGCCCACCACCUUUUCCACCGUGAUGUGGCGGUUUACUACCACCUUUUCCUCCGU
rnacentral:lncRNA from 1 species